ensembl:antisense Gm9917 predicted gene 9917
GAUACUGCCUGAUAUGGGGAGCCUUGGCUCCUGGACAGGAACCUAACUCCUGGCUUUUUACAGGGAUGACAGUUGGUCUACAGAACCACAAAUCUAUGUUGAACAGGCUAAGACUUGACCAGUUCCAGCUUUGAGCAACUUGAAGGCCAACUGCCCUGAGUUGAUGAACUCCUGCUUCCUAAUUGGGUUUUUUUGUUUGUUUGUUUUGUUUUUGCUUUUUAAAAACGUCUUGAGUUUAUUAUGGCCAAAGGCUAGGCGAGCAGAGAACCUGCUCAUAGCCGACCUUGAGAAACGUAGGCAGAACGUCCAUUGGCGGCAGAGGGCGGAGGAGGUGUUGGGCCGAGCCCUACGAUAGAGGCUGCAGCAGGAGCCUGUGCUCUCCCUUCUGAUGGCUGCCUGGGAAGUCAGACACUAUUCUCGGAGGUCCAACUUCACAGUGAGGAAGGCAAGACACCUAAACAGAAGGUCAUCUUCCCUUAGAUUUCUUCUAAGGCUUAGAAGAACAGAAGGGACAUAAAUGCCUUUAAUUUGCAGGCUGAGUUGGAUGAAAGGGAGGUUUUAAAACUCUU